rnacentral:RNase_P_RNA from 1 species
ACAGAAAAUAUACCGCCUUAUUUUUUAAGGUAAGGGUGAAACGGUGUGGUAAGAGCGCACCGCAUUGGUGGUAACACUCAAUGGCAUUGUAAACCCCAUCUAAAGCAAGACCAAAGAGUGCCACUAUGAUGUUGCUCGCAUCGUGGCAGGGUAGGUCGCUUGAGCUUAUUGGUGACACUAGGCCUAGAUACAUGACUGUCUAUUACAGAACCCGGCUUGUAGAGUGGCUUUGUAU